ACGGGGGUAUUGCGUCAGUAACGGCGAGUGAAGCGGCAAAAGCUCAAAUUUGAAAUCCCCCCGGGGAGUUGUAAUUUGAAGAUUGCGUCUUGGAGGCGACCGUGUCUAUGUUCCUUGGAACAGGACGUCACAGAGGGUGAGAAUCCCGUGCGGCACGGCCCCCGGCUCCUUAUAAGGCGCUCUCGACGAGUCGAGUUGUUUGGGAAUGCAGCUCAAAGUGGGUGGUAAAUUCCAUCUAAAGCUAAAUACAGGCGAGAGACCGAUAGCGAACAAGUACAGUGAUGGAAAGAUGAAAAGCACUUUGAAAAGAGAGUGAAACAGCACGUGAAAUUGUUGAAAGGGAAGGGCAUGCCGUCAGAUUGUCAGUGUGGGUAAGAAGCGGGGUACAAAGACUGUGGAACGUGGCCCUCGGGUGUUAUAGCCGCAGUUCAUGCCCCGUCUCUUUCCGAGGCCUGCUUUGAGGACACCGACGUAAUGACGGUACGCCGCCCGUCUUGAAMMACGGACMAAAA
rnacentral:rRNA from 1 species